ACUGCACUUGGAACCCCUGACCUUCGCGGGGACUUUUAUUUCUAUCCCCGCUUCUCCAACGCACACAAUUCAGGCGUACGGGGGCCGUGGCUUUAUUCUGGGGGCAGCCGAGGGUCAGGCACAGGACCCCGAGGGGAGGCAGGAGGACAGCGGGGGUGCAGGUGCUGGCACGAGGCUGAAGAGUGCGCGUCCACCCGCUGGGGGCGAGGGCUGCGGGCCGGCCUGCAGAGAGCUGAGUGCGGCCAGGCGCUGCUCUCGGGACACGUCCCCGCGCAGGUCCAAGAGGGCGGAGACGUGAUCCUCGCUAUGGAGUACAGAUUCUCACCAAACCGAGGAAAAGCUCCCGAAGCUGGGCGGCAUCGUGCCGCAGGCGCUCGGCCGCCUGGGUCCGCUCGUCAGCACCGCGGCACACUAGGCGGCCUUGCAUCAGCGCACCCUUCCCCCGCAAACGCACCUGGACCGCAGGAUCCCGCACGUGUCGGAAGUCCUGGCAGAAGCUCGCGGUCCGCUCGCACACGUCAUCCAGCAGCUCUGGGCUCGAUAGCCACCGGCGAGAGGGCAGAGCAGCGAAUAGGGGCUGGAGCGGAGGUCAGAGACGCGGCUGGAGGGACGAUUCAGAUCCGGCAUUCCCCGCAGAGACCCCCCCCCCAUGCAUACGCUGUAUCUCCUUCUCCCACCCCCAUCUCCGUCUGAAGCCUCACCUGUAGCUCCGCCAGCAGCGCCUCCAACACCAGGCGGCAGAUCCUCCUCUGCAACUCGUCCAGCGCUGCCUCCACCGGAGCCAAGGCCCCUGGAGCCACCCAGUCGGGCUGCAGGACGGACACGGAGGAGCUGGACCGACCAAAAGUACGGCUUCAGGACCAAGGCCAAGGCCCGAGAGGCCCUCCGUUGUCUAGCCACUCGGGCGCCACCUAGUGCCGCAAGUGUGUUCCGUGAGGGGGCAAGAAGGGCGGCUCCCUGCACUUCUGAAAGUCUGGGCCACGGAUUGAGGAUGGGAGUGGUGGGCUCAGCGAACUAGAAGGGACAUAGGCCAGCUGCACCUGCCUCUAAUUCGCGGUGUGACCUUGGGCAAGUCAUGUCUUUCAGUUUCUGUUUCAGUAAGGGGAGAGAGUUAAUCCCAGUCAGGAGGGAGUCAAAAUCAUCGUUAAUUUGUUUGUCCUCUCUGCCCCCACCCCAAAGAACAUGAGACCCAAGAGGAAGGGAAUGUUUUUGUUUCGUUCACAGCUGUAAUGCCAGGCAUAACCUGGCACAGAGUAGGGCCUUGAUAAAUAUUUGUUGAAUGAAUGAAUAAUUGACACUAUGUGCCAGGUACUGUGGUAGGUACAUUUUAUGUUAUCUCAUGUGAUUCUCAGAAUGUCCAUUAUUACCCAUAUACUACUGAUGACAAAAGCAAGAUUCAGAAAGAUUAGGUAACUGGCCCAAGGUCACACAGCUAGUAAUUAGUAGAACUAGGAUAGGAACCCCAGGGCUAUGUGAGUCCAAAAUUCCGAAAGGCCUAGUGUGAGCUGGGUCCAUACCUAAUAGGUGUUCAGUCAGGGGUUAGUGAAGGUGGGGUUCAGCGGGGGCCUCCUGGUACCUGAGUGCUGAUUGGUGGUUGAGGGUGGCCAGUAGGUAGGGCACGUAAUGAGGGGCCGUUGCUUCCCCCCUGAGGUGGUCUCGGGAGAAUCGGAUCAGAGCAU